rnacentral:lncRNA from 1 species
UACGACUUCGACAACACCAUGGACGGGCUCUACAUCGCCCCGGCUUUCAUGGACAAGCUCGUCGUGCACCUGGCCAAGAACUUCAUGACCCUGCCCAACAUCAAGGUCCCUCUGAUUCUGGGCAUCUGGGGUGGCAAGGGGCAGGGGAAAUCGUUCCAAUGUGAGCUUGUGUUUGCAAAGAUGGGGAUCAACCCGAUCAUGAUGAGUGCUGGGGAGCUCGAGAGCGGCAAUGCCGGUGAGCCGGCGAAGCUGAUCCGGCAGCGGUACCGGGAGGCGGCGGACAUUAUCAAGAAGGGCAAGAUGUGCUGUCUAUUCAUCAAUGAUCUCGAUGCCGGGGCCGGGAGGAUGGGUGGAACCACGCAGUACACGGUGAACAACCAGAUGGUGAACGCUACGCUGAUGAACAUCGCUGACGCGCCGACCAAUGUGCAACUUCCAGGGAUGUACAACAAGGAGGAGAACCCCCGGGUGCCGAUCAUAGUCACCGGCAACGACUUCUCCACCCUCUACGCGCCGCUCAUCCGAGACGGGCGCAUGGAGAAGUUCUACUGGGCGCCGACCCGCGAGGACCGCAUUGGCGUGUGCAAGGGCAUUUUCCGCACCGAUGGCGUCCCCGACGAGGCGGUGGUUAGGCUCGUCGACAUGUUCCCGGGGCAGAGCAUCGACUUCUUCGGCGCGCUGCGUGCCAGGGUUUACGAUGACGAGGUGCGGAAAUGGGUCGGGGAAAUCGGUGUGGAGAACAUUUCCAAGAGGCUGGUGAACUCGAAGGAGGGCCCGCCCAAGUUCGAGCAGCCGAAGAUGACAAUCAGUAAGCUCAUGGAGUAUGGGCACAUGCUUGUCCAGGAGCAGGAGAACGUGAAGAGGGUGCAGCUUGCAGACAAGUACCUCAGUGAGGCUGCACUGGGUGAAGCCAACGACGACGCCAUGAAGACCGGGUCCUUCUACGCCAAGGCCACUUGAUUCUAGUAAUUAAGAAUGCCGUCACUAUAUAUGCAUGUUUGGAAAAUUCCGUACCUUUUUUGAUUCAUCGCCGCACAGGUAAACGAUUUGAAUUGUAAGUUUCUGAAUACAAAGAAAUGGAAUUGUAUAUGUGAAUUACUUGUUGGAACAUUAUCAUAUAUCUGGAAAUCCUCUGAGGCUUUCUUGAUUAGGUACCGUGGGGGUCAUAUAAUUGGACAGAGAUUGUGAUGCAAACGGCUGGAUUAUUGUUUCAAGAAGAAAGAUCAAUGGUCUAUACUAAACCCAAAAAUCAAUUAAUGAGACUUCCAGGGAAAUUGAUCUUGGCAGCUCAUACAUCAAAGCAUUGCAGAAAUGACAUGCUUAGCUGUUUUUUCUCAAAAAAGUACAGACAUGGCUACCUUAAUUUUAUCUUUUCCAUACUGAUGUUUUACCAAAGAUGCAAUGUAUGGAUGUCAUGCAAGUUCUUUUAUUUUUGCGGUAAUAAUGCGAAGUAUGAAGCACAAACGUACAACACCCAUGUGCCUUGAUGUCAACAGGGGCCGACUUAACUUGUGUGGUACCAAUUGACAGCCCUAGCUUGAUGGUUAUCAACAAACCAGCAAAUAUAAGCCAGCAACAUAUUUUGUGGUACUCGAACUAGGAUCCAAUCUCGGGUGCCUCAUCCAACAAGCAACAUAAGAGUUCAUUUUUGUGUGGUUAUGGAAUAGAAGACCCCAGCUUUCGGCUAGCUGAUGAUCAACAAGACACACUAUCUAUACACCGUGAGUCCGGGUGAAAAGAAACAAAAAUGAAAGGCAAGGAAAGAAGAAAGGAUUCUGAUCAGAGAAUGGCUAGAUCCUGUGGCUGUGGAAUGUUAUAGGAUUCGAGCCAGGAGAUAUCAUAUAGCUGAGCUGCAAGCUGCAGCGUUUGGUCUUCACAGUCCAAGUCAUCCAAACCAGCGGGGGCCAAGAUGCACCCGGCCAGAACCCAAUCUCCAGUGUGUGGCCUGUGGGGGAUCAAGAAGCUGAUCCACAAGCACGGGUGUGUGUGUGCCACCUCCCAGCAGCCUCCCACAGCAACAAGAUGGAUAUCCACGUGUAUUUAAGGCAUCUCAUACCUCUGCCUCUAUACUUUGAGCAGCAGCAGCCAUUACUUGAUCAUCUGAAAAAUCUUAAUCCAGAUCAGACCAAGCAGAGCAGAGAUGUCUGCUACCUUCUCGUCCACCGUCGGAGCUCCGGUGCGUACCACACAUCGAUUCAUCGGUCCACAGCUAUCUUUUCUUAAUGGUAUCAUGUCUUCAAUGGCGUCUUGUGUUGUGUCUACAGGCUUCUACGCCAACCAGCUUCCUUGGGAAGAAGCUCAAGAAGCAGGUGACCUCGGCCGUGAACUACCAUGGCAAGAGCACCAAGGCCAACAGAUUCACAGUCAUGGCCAAGGAGGUGGACGAGUCAAAGCAGACUGACCAGGACAGGUGGAAGGGCCUCGCCUACGAUAUCUCCGACGACCAGCAGGACAUCACCAGGGGGAAGGGUAUCGUCGACUCGCUCUUCCAGGCGCCCAUGGGCGACGGUACCCACGUGGCCGUCCUCAGCUCCCAAGAGUACAUCAGCCAGGGCCUAAGGAAGUACGACUUCGACAACACCAUGGGAGGCUUCUACAUCGCCCCAGCCUUCAUGGACAAGCUCGUCGUCCACCUCUCCAAGAACUUCAUGACCCUGCCCAACAUCAAGGUACGCAGCCAGCACAUGAUCAAUUCAUGACUAUUUAAUUUAAUUUAUUAGCAGUAAUACAAUUGAACAAAGCUGUUUGUGAAGCUUUACUGUAAUUUGGGUGCUAACGAAUCGAAAAUUCAGGUGCCACUCAUCUUGGGUAUCUGGGGAGGCAAGGGUCAAGGAAAAUCCUUCCAAUGUGAGCUUGUCUUCGCCAAGAUGGGCAUCAAGUAAGAACUGUUUGAAGUUACUUUCAUCUAUUGUUAAUUGCCAGCAACACAAAUAUCAUGUCUGCACCCGAAUUAAGCAAGUAGUAACAGAUGAUGAUGUGUGCUUGCUACAGCCCAAUCAUGAUGAGUGCCGGAGAGCUGGAGAGCGGAAACGCCGGAGAGCCAGCCAAGCUGAUCAGGCAGCGGUACCGUGAGGCCGCAGACUUGAUCAAGAAGGGUAAGAUGUGCUGCCUCUUCAUCAACGAUCUCGACGCUGGUGCGGGUCGGAUGGGCGGGACCACCCAGUACACUGUCAACAACCAGAUGGUUAACGCCACCCUGAUGAACAUCGCGGAUGCCCCCACCAACGUGCAGCUCCCUGGGAUGUACAACAAGGAGGAAAACCCCCGUGUGCCCAUCAUCGUCACUGGUAACGAUUUCUCCACGCUCUACGCGCCACUCAUCCGUGACGGUCGUAUGGAGAAGUUCUACUGGGCCCCCACCCGCGAAGACCGUAUCGGUGUAUGCAGGGGUAUCUUCCAAACUGACAACAUCAGCGACGAGUCCGUCAUCAAGAUCGUAGACACCUUCCCAGGCCAAUCCAUCGGUACGUUCCCUGCACUCCACCGAUAAUAGUAUGCAUACAUCAAUGCAAGAGUAGUAAUUAACAAAGGAAAUGCUGAUCCCAAAACAGACUUUUUCGGAGCGCUGCGUGCCCGGGUGUACGACGAUGAGGUGCGCAAGUGGGUCAGCUCAACCGGAAUAGAGAACAUCGGCAAGAAGCUGGUGAACUCGAAGGAUGGACCGGUGUCCUUUGAGCAGCCAAAGAUGACAAUCGAGAAGCUCCUGGAGUACGGCCACAUGCUCGUCCAAGAGCAGGACAAUGUCAAGCGUGUGCAGCUUGCUGACAAGUACAUGAGCGAGGCUGCUCUGGGAGAUGCUAACUCAGAUGCCAUGAAGACUGGUUCCUUCUACGGUUAGAACACUCUUCAUACACACACCAUCUCUAGCUGCAUAGGAGGAGGUGAACUACAAUCUUUUUUUUUCUAUUUUCAGUAUCUACUUUACAUAUACUUCAAACUUGUGUACUUCCAAAAUAAAAGGGAGUGAAUUAUAAGCGACAGCGAGAAAUUAUUCUUACCUGUUCUUCUGGCACAUCAAGCUGAUCUUCUCAUUGCAUUGUGCAAAACAACUAAAUUUCAGGUAAAGGAGCACAACAAGGUAAUUUGCCCGUCCCAGAAGGUUGCACUGACCGGAAUGCCGAGAACUACGACCCAACAGCAAGGAGUGACGACGGCAGCUGCCUUUACACCUUUUAAGCAUGCCACUUUAAUUAUUCUGAUGUUUCACUCUUUGUACCUAAGUACCGCAUUGCAUCCAAGCAAUUGCUGGGCAUGAAAAGUUUUUGUUCAUAUAUAAAGAUAUUGAGUAUAUUCAUUUGGUGAACAGUAAUAUAUAUAACUACUUAUCCUUGCAGUAUUCAUUUCUUAAAUAAUUCUUAGUCUGACUCUGAUAAGUGAGGAAAGCUCCUGCUUGUUGGAAACAAAAUAGAAGUAACAAUUUGAGGUUCAGCUUGUUUAGGGUCGAGAGUUAGUGUCGCUGCUGUGCGAAUGCCAGCCCAGGAUUGAUCUCCCGUGGUCACAUCUCCGGGUGCCUCGUCUUUCUUAACUCGAUGAAGUGGCUUAAGGAGAUAGCAGAGAAAACAGAUAGUGGGGGGCGUCUGUAUAGGCAUAUACGAUUAAAGAGUGUACAGGGGCUUCUCCCCCUUAUAUCAUUCAGCUUCCGCUUGUUGUUGGACAAACAAAUGAAAGGAAAAUGGGGAGUCAAUUGCAAACAUAAAAUAGAUGCACUAUGUUAAUAUCAAACCUGCUGAUCCAACAUCCGAACUGAAAGACAAAUGAAAAGAAGCAGCUGGUUUUACCAAUGGCUCUGAAAAGCUACAUAUCCUCAAUACCUAUCUAGAUCAUGGGUGGUUCCGUAAGACCAAGAAGUGCGUGUGGCCAAGGUUGUCCACCAAUCGGUAUUUUGUGCCCUAUUGUUCAAAGCGGUCAUGGAAAGUUGCAUAUUUCAACAUCUUUGUCAAGCUGUGUAAUAGAAAAUCUAUGUGUUUGUGGUUGUGAACUGGGCAAGAUUGUUUACUAGCGCAACUGGGAAUACCAAUUCUUGUAAUUUUGAAGUCGCAUUCAGUAAAAUGUGAUGUUCGAAUUGUGAACUAAUCAAUGAGGAGAAGCAUAGGAAACUAGUAUAAAGCAAGUGUAUGCAGCUUUAAUCAUUUUGUGGACACAUGCAUAAUUUUUUUAAUGUUAUCUGUAUGUAAUAAAAGUGAGGUGACGUGAGUUACUUGUUCCAAUCACUUUGCCCAAUUUAGUUGUUGCUUAUCUUAUCACCGCAAAAGAUUUAUCACUGAGUUCUACUGUGGUGGCUAAAUAAACCAGUUUGUUCAAUCAAUCAACAACCUAAUUCAUCAGAACAUUUCUGAGACCCUUUUGGAGCGUACAAUUUUCAGUAAAUUAAGAAACAUGAGCUGCCGAAAUGUUUCGGAUCCAGUAGCUGAAACAUGUGUUUGGUGUUAUCCAAUCGAUCCAGACAACUCCAACGCAUAUCAAUGACACAGGACAAGGAAGUAAAUGGAAGGAGGGAUUACCGAACUAGAUUGCGUAGCAGUGUACUCCUCGCAAGCAAGAUAAAGUAGCAGCGGUUGGUCGCAGCAAUCGGCCUCCAUUCCCUCGACGAACAAAACACGGAAUACUGAUCAGGUAUUUCGACAAACACCUGGCAGGCAUAUCGGCGCGGUGAUGUGGUCAGAGAAACGAGGAAUCAGAAGGGGACGGAGGGAGAGCAUAUCUACAUGUAUGCUAGAUAACGGAAGCCGCGUGCGCCUGGCGCGGUGAACCUGGAAAAGCACGGCCACC